UGAGGAAUAUUGGUCAAUGGGCGAGAGCCUGAACCAGCCAAGUAGCGUGCAGGAUGACGGCCCUAUGGGUUGUAAACUGCUUUUAUAUGGGAAUAAAGUGAGGGACGUGUCCCUUAUUGCAUGUACCAUAUGAAUAAGGACCGGCUAAUUCCGUGCCAGCAGCCGCGGUAAUACGGAAGGUCCAGGCGUUAUCCGGAUUUAUUGGGUUUAAAGGGAGCGUAGGCUGUUUGUUAAGCGUGUUGUGAAAUGUAAGAGCUCAACUUUUAGAUUGCAGCGCGAACUGGCAGACUUGAGUGCGCACAACGUAGGCGGAAUUCAUGGUGUAGCGGUGAAAUGCCUAGAUAUCAUGACGAACUCCGAUUGCGAAGGCAGCUUACGGGAGCGCAACUGACGCUAAAGCUCGAAGGUGCGGGUAUCGAACAGG
rnacentral:rRNA from 1 species